CCAGAAUUUCACAAAUUCAGCAGAAGAUGCAAGCAUUGAUGGGGUUUCAGAUGGCUGCCAUGACCAUAUUUGCAAGAAAUCCUUUCCACCUGUUCUGACCACACGCUGAUAUACACAACACCUUCUCACUGAAGAAAUGGUACAUAAGGACAAUACAAGACCACAGAUUAAUUACAGCAAAAGUAUGGCUCAGUGCAACGCUGUGCGUUAGCUCUUUCACAGCAAGCAGAAGAGCAGCACAUGCUUUGGAAGACAGAUGUAAAACUCCCUCACAGCCGCUUGUGCCAUGGGAGCUCCUUACAACCAACCAACAACCCAACCGCGGCUAACGCGCUUCUGAUCACAAAGCCACCUCUCUGUAAGAUCCAUCUUUCUAACGAGUAAUACAAAGAGAGAGGGAAAAAAGACAGCAGCAAUACAGACACAAAGGCUGUUUUUAUACUUGCAUUUUGGCUCAGAGCAGCAGAGCAAUUUUGAAGCAAAUCCCGGAUCC